AUGGAGGAUUCAACUGUAUGGAAGUUCACUAAAGAUGGUAUAUACUCCGCCUCUUCAGCAUACAAGGCACAGUUUGAAGGGCUUACUACUUCAUAUCUGGUACAAUCGGUUUGGAAGGUCUGGGCUCCCCCGCGAUGCAAAUUUUUUGCUUGGCUUGUUCUACAAAAUAGGAUCUGGACGUCUGAUCGCUUAAUUAGGCGGGGUUGGCCCAAUUGUGGUGUAUGCCCUCUAUGCAAGCAAUGCCAGGAAUCUGUGGCUCAUCUCCUCUUCCAAUGCCGAUUCACUCUUCGGGUGUGGAACGACAUUAUUCUGUGGCUUGGAUUGCACCACGUCAACACGGCCACCUGGGCGACGAGGGUCUCGGUGAGAGAUUGGUGGACCAACAACAUACACACUCGGGUUGGAUCUCCCAAGGCGCUGGCCUCUCUGAUGAUGCUCAUCUCAUGGGAGAUUUGGACCGAACGCAAUGCUAGAGUCUUCCGUAACACGGCCGUCCCUUCGAUGGUUCUCAUUUCUAAGAUUAAAGACGAGGUGUCUCUUUGGGCUUUGGCCGGUGCAAAGCAGUUGGGUAUUGUAAUGCCGCGAGAGUAG
rnacentral:rRNA from 1 species